UACGUAGGGGGCUAGCGUUGUCCGGAUUUAUUGGGCGUAAAGAGCGUGUAGGCGGCCAUGUAGGUCCGGUGUGAAAACUCGAGGCUUAACCUCGAGAUGUCAUCGGAAACCAUUUGGCUAGAGUCCGGAAGAGGAGAGUGGAAUUCCUGGUGUAGCGGUGAAAUGCGCAGAUAUCAGGAGGAACACCGGUGGCGAAGGCGGAUCUCUGGGCCGAUACUGACGCUGAGGAGCGAAAGCGUGGGGAGCGAACCGG
rnacentral:rRNA from 1 species